AUAGCGCACAAGUAGAGUGAUCGAAAGAUGAAAAGCACUUUGAAAAGAGAGUUAAACAGCACGUGAAAUUGUUGAAAGGGAAGCGCUUGCGACCAGACUCGCCCACGGGGUUCAGCCGGCAUUCGUGCCGGUGUACUUCCCCGCGGGCGGGCCAGCGUCGGUUUGGGCGGCCGGUCAAAGGCCCUCGGAAUGUAACGCCCCCCGGGGCGUCUUAUAGCCGAGGGUGCC
rnacentral:rRNA from 1 species